CCUCUCCCUUCUCUCUCUCUCUCCUUCCAUUUCUAGAAUCGAACUCGUGUUACAGGCACGUAUUCAUGUCUUUCAUCUCCAUUUUGUGCAUCAAAUACCACAGUAAUCACUCACUAUUCUUCGGUAGUUCUCUCAUCUCUCGGAUCCUCUUUGAAUCGAGUUGUACGAUCAAUUUUUUCCGGUGCCGUUUGCUAAAGAUCAAAAGGUUUUGGAAGACAUGACAUUUCAUCACGACUCAGCUUGUGGACAAACCGUCGCUUAUUUUCUCAGAACUUAUUUAUGAUCACAAGUUCAUAAUAGAUGUUGUAUGCAACUACACUUGCAGCGUUGUGGAAAUGCCCUUGCUUCGAAUUUCAGGUUUACCAUUGGAAUCCUUGUGAUCCAGAAGUAAGCUUGUUUAAGAAGCACUUACUGUUUUCGGCAGAAAAGAAUGUUUGUGGAACAUGCUCCAAAAAAUUAUCUGUUACUUGAGCGCGAGUGUCUUUUGGAAACAGCCUAUCUAUCUCCAUGAGGUAGAGAUAACUUCUGCGUACAGUCUACCGACCCGGACCUCACAUUUGGGAUUGCACUAGUUCGACACUGGUGUGAAAUGAAAUUAAUAUGUCCCUUUCUAAAGACUAUUGCCCGCAAAGCAUAUUGAUGCAACAAUGCGUUGAUUGAACUUGGGAGUGAUAGCGCACAAAACCUUUACAAAGUGAAUGGUACUGUCUUUAAGGUCAUUGCUGAACCAACUAAGUGAGCCUUUGAUUGAACGCAACUACAAGAAACAAAAUGAUGUGUGGAUCAACUUGCAAAACAAUAUGGAUAGAGGAUGCAUGAUAAUAUAAACACAUUUUACUGUUUCUCCUUUGUUUGUCUUAGCUUUCAAGGCACAGAAGCUAGUAAUUACUUUCUAUCGAAGCACUAUGGUUUGCUAUGAAGUUUAAUCACAGUCUCUGUAGUAGCACUUCUUAUUUUUUACUGGGCUCAAAAAAACAUUAAUACACAUGCGGUUUU
rnacentral:misc_RNA from 1 species